GAUGAACGCUGGCGGCGUGCCUAAUACAUGCAAGUCGAGCGAACAGACGAGGAGCUUGCUCCUCUGACGUUAGCGGCGGACGGGUGAGUAACACGUGGAUAACCUACCUAUAAGACUGGGAUAACUUCGGGAAACCGGAGCUACUACCGGAUAAUAUAUUGAACCGCAUGGUUCAAUAGUGAAAGACGGUUUUGCUGUCACUUAUAGAUGGAUCCGCGCCGCAUUAGCUAGUUGGUAAGGUAACGGCUUACCAAGGCAACGAUGCGUAGCCGACCUGAGAGGGUGAUCGGCCACACUGGAGCUGAGACACGGUCCAGACUCCUACGGGAGGCAGCAGUAGGGAAUCUUCCGCAAUGGGCGAAAGCCUGACGGAGCAACGCCGCGUGAGUGAUGAAGGUCUUCGGAUCGUAAAACUCUGUUAUUAGGGAAGAACAAAUGUGUAAGUAACUAUGCACGUCUUGACGGUACCUAAUCAGAAAGCCACGGCUAACUACGUG
rnacentral:rRNA from 1 species